CCUACGGGAGGCAGCAGUGAGGAAUAUUGGUCAAUGGACGAGAGUCUGAACCAGCCAAGUAGCGUGAAGGAUGACUGCCCUAUGGGUUGUAAACUUCUUUUAUAUGGGAAUAAAACGUUCCACGUGUGGGAUUUUGUAUGUACCAUAUGAAUAAGGAUCGGCUAACUCCGUGCCAGCAGCCGCGGUAAUACGGAGGAUCCGAGCGUUAUCCGGAUUUAUUGGGUUUAAAGGGAGGGUAGGGGGGUUGUUAAGUCAGUUGUGAAAGUUUGCGGCUCAAACGGAAAAUUGCAGUUGAAACUGGCAGUCUUGAGUACAGUAGAGGUGGGCGGAAUGCGUGGUGUAGCGGUGAAAUGCUUAGAUAUCACGAAGAACUCCGAUUGCGAAGGCAGUUCACUGGACUGCAACUGACACUGAGGCUCGAAAGUGUGGGUAUCAAACAGGAUUAGAUACCCGUGUAGUC
rnacentral:rRNA from 1 species